GCUUACGGCCAUACCACCUUAGGCACGCCCGAUCUCGUCUGAUCUCGGAAGCUAAGCAGGGUCGGGCCUGGCCUGGUUAGUACUUGGAUGACUUGGAUGGGUGACCGCCUGGGAAUACCAGGUGCUGUAAGCA
ensembl:rRNA 5S_rRNA 5S ribosomal RNA